rnacentral:rRNA from 1 species
CCUACGGGAGGCAGCAGUGAGGAAUAUUGGUCAAUGGGCGCGAGCCUGAACCAGCCAAGUCGCGUGAGGGAAGACGGUCCUAUGGAUUGUAAACCUCUUUUGUCGGGGAGCAAAAGACGCCACGCGUGGCGGUCCGAGAGUACCCAAAGAAAAAGCCUCGGCUAACUCCGUGCCAGCAGCCGCGGUAAUACGGAGGAUGCGAGCGUUAUCCGGAUUUAUUGGGUUUAAAGGGUGCGCAGGCGGAAGAUCAAGUCAGCGGUAAAAUUGAGAGGCUCAACCCCUUCGAGCCGUUGAAACUGGUGAUCUUGAGUGAGCGAGAAGUAUGCGGAAUGCGUGGUGUAGCGGUGAAAUGCAUAGAUAUCACGCAGAACUCCGAUUGCGAAGGCAGCAUACCGGCGCUCAACUGACGCUCAUGCACGAAAGUGUGGGGAUCGAACAGGAUUAGAUACCCGAGUAGUC